rnacentral:rRNA from 1 species
CCCUACGGGGCGCAGCAGGCGCGAAAACUUUACAAUGCGGGCAACCGUGAUAAGGGAACCUCGAGUGCCUGUAAAUGCAGGCUGUUCAGGUGCCUAAAACACACCUGAAGAAAGGGCCGGGCAAGACCGGUGCCAGCCGCCGCGGUAAUACCGGCGGCUCGAGUGGUGGCCGCUUUUAUUGGGCUUAAAGCGUUCGUAGCUGGGUUGUUAAGUCUCUUGGGAAAUCUGGCGGCUUAACCGUCAGGCGUCUAAGGGAUACUGGCAAUCUUGGAACCGGGAGAGGUGAGGGGUACUUCGGGGGUAGGAGUGAAAUCCUGUAAUCCUCGAGGGACCACCUGUGGCGAAGGCGCCUCACCAGAACGGCUUCGACAGUGAGGGACGAAAGCUGGGGGAGCAAACCGGAUUAGAUACCCGGGUAGUCCCAGCCGUAAACUAUGCGCGUUAGGUGUAUCGGUGACCACGAGUUACCGAGGUGCCGAAGGGAAACCGUGAAACGUGCCGCCUGGGAAGUACGGUCGCAAGGCUGAAACUUAAAGGAAUUGGCGGGGGAGCACCACAACAGGUGGAGCCUGCGGUUUAAUUGGACUCAACGCCGGGAAGCUCACCGGAUAAGACA